CAGUCGCCGCGGUAAUACGAAGGGGGCUAGCGUUGUUCGGAAUUACUGGGCGUAAAGCGCACGUAGGCGGAUCGAUCAGUCAGGGGUGAAAUCCCAGGGCUCAACCCUGGAACUGCCUUUGAUACUGUCGAUCUGGAGUAUGGAAGAGGUGAGUGGAAUUCCGAGUGUAGAGGUGAAAUUCGUAGAUAUUCGGAAGAACACCAGUGGCGAAGGCGGCUCACUGGUCCAUUACUGACGCUGAGGUGCGAAAGCGUGGGGAGCAAACAGGAUUAGAUACCCGAGUAGUCCCUGUCUCUUAUAC
rnacentral:rRNA from 1 species